UGGCACUGACCUAUUACUUAACUGGCCUUGUUGGUAUGUUACGGACUUUUCUUUUUCUCUUACUUUUUUUGUUGUAGGAAGAUAAGAAACCAGUUAAAACCUAACCACUUGCUUCAGCAAAGAUGGGAAGAUAGGUCUCUCCUGAGUUCACAGGAAAGAGCCGUGUCUCCUGUGUCAGAUGGGCAGGAUGCAUCAGUUUCGAGGCGCAGGAACUUCUAGUUUUCCUUUCUGAGUAAGAGACCCAGGUUUGGACUUGACAUCGUCCCCCUGCAUCUCCAUCACACUGUGUACCCCUCUAUCAUAACCCCCGUAGCACUGAGCUGUCUGUCUGCCCUUCCCAACAACGUGUGUAAGAUACUGGAGUGAAGGAGACAGAGAGUGAGUCAGCCUAGAGCCUACUGCAGCAGCGCCUGAACAUGGAAACUAACACAUAAACGUGGAACGGGGAGGUACAGGUGAUUUGCAGUUGGUUCCCAGAAAUUAAUACACAUUCUAGAACCAAAUGCAGAUCAUCUGGGGAGGAGUCACUUGCUGGCUGUUUGGAAAUCUCUAUUCAUCCCCAUGUUAAGUGGCAGUUGUAACUUCUGCUACUCAAAGCUUGAUUAUCUACAGAAAAUGUAUCCUUGACUAGAAAGGGGAAGGGAGAAAUUUCAAAUAUGAUUCUCUGUCAAACUUCAGUAAUUCUAAAAUACCUCCAUUCAAAAGCGUUUCUUGUUUUAUUAAGCUGUCUUUUUCUUUUAACCUCACUAGUGGCACUGAGGCCAAAACUGAAGUCCUGUAUAAAUUCCUUUGAUUCUAUAUAUGAUAAACACGUGAUCAAACUUUUAUUUUCUAUAGAGACGGCAACAGACUCUUAGAAAAGGUCAACUGAGGGCCAGGGAGCUACCUUACGAGUCACCUAAGUUUAUUCCAUCUUCUAUGCACGUAAUCAUAACUUAUUUUCCUUACUUUAAUAGCAGAUUAAAUUUUCAGAUUCAAUGUAGUCUGCCUUACCCUCCCAUUCUCUCCUUCUGUGAAUGAGAAGGAGAAAGCAUAUGAAAGCAGAUGAGGCCAAAGGGAAAACUGUUUCCGCCUGUCUCCCAAAGUAACAAGUGACGAACAGCAAAAAGUGACAGAACCAGCGAAUGUGCUGCUCUUUAGCCUAACAAGAAUUUGCAGCAAAAUGCUUUAUUAUGGAGGUUAGUAGAUGACACAAGAGCUUAAAGCAAUUCAGAGAAAAUAAGAAAGAACACAAAUCAACACUUACAGAGAGCCUGACGAUGAUGGGAAAAUGAUGUGAAAACAUUACCAAAAAAAAAA